rnacentral:lncRNA from 1 species
UGAAAUUUUGCAUUGGUACAUUUUAUUAAGGUGUAUUUUAUCAUCUAUGUAAGCACAUUGCUUAACUUCAUUGCACAUAUAGAACUACAACCGAUAAAAAAUAAAAAUUAUUUAGUUCUUACAUUCAACACUACACACACUUUUAAGCAAAAGUAAUACCAAACAACUCUAAUAUCCAAUGAGUAGCCAAAUGAAUGCUCAUCUAGGUUCUCUGUCAAGGUAGCCAAGGCUGCUGGAUACAUCUUGUUUGCUUCUUGCAUGGCGUGUAACUGGGCUUCAUCUAUGGGUUCCUGGGAAAGAAAAACAAAAAAAAAGAAGAAGAAAAAAUAGAAAUCCA